rnacentral:snoRNA from 1 species
CCCCUUUUAAAAGCACUCAGUGGGCCUUUUGUUAAUGACCCAUCGAGCCGUCAAGAAGGGGCAGAGUAAAACACCGCUUUUGGGUGAAGUGGCAGCAUGUUGUGUUGUUUUGCUUCAAUCGGUGGUGUGACACGA